CAAUUGCACACAGAAAUACUACAAAUUUUGAAGCAUAUGCAUGUUCCUUCUUAUGCUGGUUUAUUGGCCAUUGACACCUUAUGAUUAAGUUGAGUGUUAGAGAAAAAUAAAUAAAUAAAAACAACUAGUUGCUAAACAAGGCCCAGCAUUCCCUCUGGAACUCCAUCCACCCCAAAGGACAUUCAUCAGCUGAACAGACUCUUACAUAACGCCUUCACCGUGCUGCCCAUGUUGGAUUAUCCCUACAGCAAUCAUUUCAUGGGCAGCAUGCCAGCCUUCCCUGUGAAGGUGGCGUGUGAAACCAUGCUGAAUGGCACUGAUCUUCUGUCGGCAGUCAGAGCUUCUGUUGGCAUUGUGUAUAAUUCCACUGGACAGCUCCCAUGUUAUAACCUCUACAGUCUCUAAGUAGUGUCCCGAUCCCACCGGCUGUGGCCUUGGCUUUGACAGCUAUGCUUGGGAUUACCAGAUCUCACCACCGCAAGCAAUAUCAUAUUUUCCAAUGGUGAUCUUGAUCCUUGGGCUAAUUGAGGGAUCAGGAAGACACUCAGUCCAUCACUGAUUGCAAUCAACAUACCAGAGGGAGCUCAUCGUCUGGAUUUAAAGAAGUCUAACCCUGCUGAUCCUCAGUCUGUGAUUGUGGCUCAGAAGAAGGAAUAUGAAAUCAUUGCUCAGUGGGUGAAGGCAGAAAGAAAGAAGUCAUUAUGAGUUCAUUUUUGUGAACAGUUUAUUUCAACAUUGUAAACUUGUUAAAUAUUGAAUAAAUCAAUUUAUUUUCCACAGAAAUGGACAUUUAAAAAUAUAUAUUCCAGAAAAAAAUACAUUGUACAAACUCACUCUUGUCUAAAUCAUCACUGACAAAUUUCCAAAUUGAAUUGGGGUACUUAGGAGUAAAUAUGAAUAUGUACAGCUGUUACCACAUAUUACUUGUCGUCACUUCUGUUUUAGAAUAUUCUUUGAAAUUCAUGGCACAUCUUUGGUGUCUCUGAAUGAUUCAAAAUCAUGUUGAUUUGUCAAUGUGCAUGAGGCAGCUGAGGAUUUAAGACAUUUGCACAACAAUUGAGAGUGAGGCAUGAAAAGCCCUUCAUUUGAAAUCUGAGAUACACAAGUUCAUUUGACAGUGUAGCUGUCUUUAGUUUCUCACACAAUUACAGAGAAAAAAAUACACCCAGAAAUUGUGUACGGAUAGCAAGUUAAUUUAACACUUCCACAUUGUAUUAUAAAUAAUCACAAAAGUACUUAUCCACAAUAAUCCAACAAAUGGCAGAUAGCUACACAACAGGAACGAGAUGUUUAAAAUAGAUUGAUUUCUCAUAAGAACUUGAUUCUCUGGAUUGAAAAUAGACAACAUUUGUCAUCAUUGCUCUGUAUGUAAAGGCACACGUGGAACAGAACACCUCACCACGGCACGACAACAAGAAACCGGUUAAUGCUCAGCCCUUGAUGAACAUCUACAAUGGUUUUAAUGUACAUACUUACGAAAAAUACAAACCUGGAUAAUAUUUAAUGUAUGAUUCUGCACUGUGCGAUAUAAUGUUAUACCAAGCUUUUCAAAUACAGUGCACAAAAUAAACCUGUGAUCUGUGGAAACAACAGGAAUAUUCUUUGAUGGUCAAAAAAAAAAAAAAAAAAGUAGGUGGCCCAGGCUAUUACCCGACUUUUUUUUCUUUUUUUUUUUACAUUCUAUGCUAUUUAAGACUAGGCCCACAAACUGAUGUGCAAUAAGUAACGAAACAUGUAUAACUAAACAUCCCAUUUUUUCUUGAAAGAAAACAUUUGGAAUUUUGAAGAUUGUUUAAAGUUCUGAGAAAACCAUGCAAAGAAAAGAAAAUACAAUGUUUCAUAUUUUACAAGAUAUUCUACCAAUACCAUAAAGUUCUUCAUAAACACAAAAAUACUACUGACACAAUCACCUCUGAUGUAGGUCCCCUGAAAGAGUGAAAACUGCCAUAAUAUAAACCCUUAUAUUUAUAUAAAACAUUGUGCUUGAUUAAUGCUCCAUUAAAAUACUAAAUUCUGCAAUCACAAAAAAACGGGACUAAAUUGAAUAAAAAUCUGCAACUAAAUACCGUAAUAAAAGAAUAAUUGCUAACGCCAAACUCCACACAAAAACGUACAUUUCUCCUGUUCACAGGAAUGGCAUUAAAGUCCUUCACAGCAAGGUUGGUUUUUAAGCUCAAAACAAAAGAAAUAUUUCAAAUGAUUACACACCCAAAAAAAAAAA